UGGGGAAUAUUGCACAAUGGGCGCAAGCCUGAUGCAGCCAUGCCGCGUGUAUGAAGAAGGCCUUCGGGUUGUAAAGUACUUUCAGCGGGGAGGAAGGUGUUGAGGCUAAUAACCUCAGCAAUUGACGUUACCCGCAGAAGAAGCACCGGCUAACUCCGUGCCAGCAGCCGCGGUAAUACGGAGGGUGCAAGCGUUAAUCGGAAUUACUGGGCGUAAAGCGCACGCAGGCGGUCUGUCAAGUCGGAUGUGAAAUCCCCGGGCUCAACCUGGAAACUGCAUUCGAAACUGGCAGGCUAGAGUCUUGUAGAGGGGGGUAGAAUUCCAGGUGUAGCGGUGAAAUGCGUAGAGAUCUGGAGGAAUACCGGUGGCGAAGGCGGCCCCCUGGACAAAGACUGACGCUCAGGUGCGAAAGCGUGGGGAGCAAACA
rnacentral:rRNA from 1 species